GUAAAAGUCGUAACAAGGUCUCCGUUGGUGAACCAGCGGAGGGAUCAUUACGAAAGGAGUAUUCCGUACUCUUCAACCCUUUGUGAACUUACCUAUUGUCAGUUGCUUCGGCGGGAGGCCCCUGGGAGGGGCCCCGGGGCCCGGUCCUGAGCCGGGCUCCCGCCGGAGGAGCGCAACCAAAACUCUUGCUGUACCUCAGUGGCACCUCCGAGUAAAAAAGCAAAAAACAAGUUAAAACUUUCAACAACGGAUCUCUUGGUUCUGGCAUCGAUGAAGAACGCAGCGAAAUGCGAUAAGUAAUGUGAAUUGCAGAAUUCAGUGAAUCAUCGAAUCUUUGAACGCACAUUGCGCCCGCCAGCAUUCUGGCGGGCAUGCCUGUUCGAGCGUCAUUUCAACCCCUCAGGCCCUGGUGCCUGGCGUCGGGGCUCUCCCUCGCGGGAGGCCCCCAGAGACAGUGGCGGACCCGCCGCGGCUCCGAGCGCAGUAGUAAAAUAUCUCGCUCUGGAGGCCCGCGGGGGAGCUCUCCGGCCGUAAAACCAGGUCUGCAAAGACCGACCCCACCAAGGUUGACCUCGGAUCAGGUAGGAAUACCCGCUGAACUUA
rnacentral:rRNA from 1 species